UCCUAGUUAACCUAGGCAGUCUCGUUAGAGUUCCCGCCUUCACGCGUUGGCAACUAACGAUAAGGGUUGCGCUCGUUGCUGGACUUAACCAAACACCUCACGGCACGAGCUGACGACAGCCAUGCAGCACCUAUAUAAAACCCCUUGCGGGACAGCACUAUCUCUAGUGCCUUGCUCUACAUUUCGAGCCCAGGUAAGGUUCUUCGCGUUGCAUCGAAUUAAACCACAUGCUCCACUGCUUGUGCGGGCCCCCGUCAAUUCUUUUGAGUUUCACCCUUGCGAGCGUACUCCCCAGGCGGCAUACUUAUCGCGUUAGCUUCGAUACAGAAAGGGUUGAGCCCUCCUACAUCUAGUAUGCAUCGUUUACGGCUAGGACUAC
rnacentral:misc_RNA from 1 species